CCUGAAGACAGAAAUGAGGCUGGUAAAUGGAGGGCCUUUGUUUCAGAUUACGAACAGCAAAUAGCCAUGGAGAAAAGCACAAAGAAACUUCCAAGGAGACUGCUACUACAAGUAAUGGGCAAACAGGACUUUUCUUAAAUCCAGAAGAACAUUUCAGCAAAUGAGAUCCAGCCAUUUAAGUAGAUAGAACUAAGUGCUUAAAAAAAAAAAAAAAAUUU